GACGCGAUGGAUGAAAAUCAAAUAUGUAAAAGAGAUGACUCUAAAUCAAAUACAAGAAAGGCAAACGGACUCGCCGGCGUGGAAAGCGAUACUACGGGCUCGACAACUCAUUGAACAAUGUGUAAAAUGCAACAUCGAUGGGAAGGUCAGAUGAAGGGGAAAUGGCCAUGGCCCAAGCACAAGAAAUAUAACUGAAAUAAUCCGGCAAAGGAUGCCCAACGACAUCAUUGCUUCCGGAAUCUGGGCCUCAAAUGUGAGAAAAAUAAAUCUUCUACUAUGGAGAAUUCACAAGCGAC
rnacentral:lncRNA from 1 species